rnacentral:tRNA from 1 species
GAGCCCGUGGUGUAAUGGUAGCACGUCGGGCUAGGAAGUCAUUUCCCUAGCUGGAAGCGUUGGUUCGAUUCCUUCCGGGUCCA